CGCCCCGCCCCGCCGGCCGCGGGUCUGCAGCAAAAUCCAGCCAAUGGGCUUGGCGGGACCGCGCGCGCCGCUUCCCGACCGCGCAGCCCCCGCCUCUCCCCUCUCUCCUCCCUCCCUCCCUCCCGCCGCCGUCGCCAUUUCGCGGCGUCCCGACAAAGGGCCUGGCCGGGGGGGCCUGCGGGCCCCUAGGGCGACGCUCCGAUUUCCUUAAGGAAUCAAUUUUAUCCUUCUUGAGAGCUCCCUGCUUCUGAAGAGUGACAACCCAACUGAAGAACCAAAAUGGCUGACUAGGCAGCAUUAGUUGGAAGAGCCUUCAGGCAUCUCCUGUGAUGUAAGAAGACAAUGAGGGGACACUGGAGUGAAGAAGUAGUUGUCUCACAAACUAUUUGAGGAGGCAAGAGAGGAAGUUCCAUGUCAAGAAAAAGCUGUGGCCUCUGAAAGAAGAGGCACAGAUUUGUUUUCAAUUUUGAAAUCCCUCCCCACAUACCAAGAGCAAUAUUGUUCAUGUACAGAGAGUUGAAAUAAUCAAAUAAAGAGGUGGUAGAUAUGAAUGCUAUCUGCAGAUGUUUACAGUUUGCCUAUAUCAGCCGUGUUAGUAUGGUGAUGUUGUAUCUGUACCAUGUAGUCAUGUGCCAAGUUUUCUAGGGGAGAAUGUACAAAGAAAUGCUGUAAUAAUCACGGGCUCCAUGGGAAACAGAAGUAGUUUCUCAAGCAGGAUGGGCUGUUAAUCUCUCAGCAGUGACGUCUGCAGAACGAAAAUGACAUUUUUUUAACAAUGCAGACUGAAGCCCCG